rnacentral:rRNA from 1 species
GAUGAACGCUGGCGGCGUGCCUAAUACAUGCAAGUCGAGCGAACUGAUUAGAAGCUUGCUUCUAUGACGUUAGCGGCGGACGGGUGAGUAACACGUGGGCAACCUGCCUGUAAGACUGGGAUAACUUCGGGAAACCGAAGCUAAUACCGGAUAGGAUCUUCUCCUUCAUGGGAGAUGAUUGAAAGAUGGUUUCGGCUAUCACUUACAGAUGGGCCCGCGGAGCAUUAGAUAGUGGGUGAGGUAAGGGCCAACAAAGGGAACGAUGCAUAGCCGACCGGAGAGGGUGAUCGGCCACACUGGGACUGAGACACGGCCCAGACUCCUACGGGAGGCAGCAGUAGGGAAUCUUCCGCAAUGGACGAAAGUCUGACGGAGCAACGCCGCGUGAGUGAUGAAGGCUUUCGGGUCGUAAAACUCUGUUGUUAGGGAAGAACAAGUACGAGAGUAACUGCUCGUACCUUGACGGUACCUAACCAGAAAGCCACGGCUAACUACGUGCCAGCAGCCGCGGUAAAAC